rnacentral:lncRNA from 1 species
UUACAUACAGUGCCCUAACUCUAAGGUUCCCCACAGUUUGGCCCUUAAUUCAGCAACCCUGGGAAUGGAGACGAUUAGGCAUAUGUAAGUCUCUAUAGCCCACAGGAAAAGACUUUGUGGCAUUUAAUAAUCAAACUCCCAAAGAUCAAGUAUUUAAAAAGGAUACUAAAAGAAGCAAAAAAAAAAAAAAAAAAAGAAAAAAAAGAAACACAUAAUACACAAUGGAGCUGUAAUACACAAUUAACGUUUAUUGAAAAUCUAAGUUAUUAUCAGUCAGGAUAAACUUGAUUAUACUUCAUAAAAAAUAAUUCUAGCCUUUUUGUGGAACAAAACAUCUAAGUUAUUUUUGAUCAACUUUCUGACUUUCCCCAGUGAGAUGAACCCGGUACCUCAGUUGGAAAUGCAGAAAUCACCCGUCUUCUGUCUUCUGCGUUGCUCACGCUGGGAGCUGUAGACUGGAGCUGUUCCUAUUUGGCCAUCUUGGCUCCACACCAAUGUUUUAUAGUUUUCAUUGUAAAUAUCUUCACUUCUUUGGUUAAAUUUAUUCCUAGCUCUUUUAUUUUAUUUGUAGCUAUUGUAAAUGGGAUUACUUUCUUGAUUUCUUUUUCAGAGUGUUCACUGUUGUCAUAUAAAUAUGCUCCUGAUUUCUAUGUUGAUUUUAUAUCCUUGCAACU